rnacentral:rRNA from 1 species
CAGCAGCCGCGGUAAUACGUAGGGGGCGAGCGUUGUCCAGAGUUACUGGGCGUAAAGAGCGUGUAGGCGGUUGAAAAAGUCAGGUGUGAAAUUCUUCGGCUCAACCGAGGGACUGCGCUUGAAACUUUUCGACUGGAGUUUGGGAGGGGCAACCGGAAUUCCUGGUGUAACGGUGAAAUGUGUAGAUAUCAGGAGGAACACCCGUGGCGAAGGCGGGUUGCUGGACCAAAACUGACGCUGAGACGCGAAAGCGUGGGUAGCAAACAGGAUUAGAUACCCUGGUAGUCCACGCUGUAAACGAUGAGUGCUAGGUGUAGGGGGUAUCGACUCCUUCUGUGCCGCAGCUAACGCAUUAAGCACUCCGCCUGGGGAUUACGGCCGCAAGGUUAAAACUCAAAGGAAUUGACGGGGGCCCGCACAAGCGGUGGAGUAUGUGGUUUAAUUCGAUGAUACGCGAGAAACCUUACCUGGUCUUGACAUGUUAAGAAUCCUUCAGAGAUGAGGGAGUGCUUGCUUGCAAGAACUUAAACACAGGAGGUGCAUGGCC